rnacentral:lncRNA from 2 species
UUGCAGCUGGUUUCCUAAGCUUGGUAUCUGCCCAUCCAGCUUGUUAAAUUGUAGUAUUUCCAAGCCAUUCUGGAAGGGUACCAGUAAAAGAAAUGACACGAUGUGGAGUUUUAACCCUGCACAGGACACCUUCCCAACUGCAAAAGUAAGUGCUGUCAUUCCAGGACAUCAGCGCUUGCUGUGGAUCCAGACUGAUUGCCUUCUUGAACUCAAGCAAUGA